rnacentral:rRNA from 1 species
UACGGGGGGGCAAGCGUUGUUCGGAAUUACUGGGCGUAAAGGGCUCGUAGGCGGCCACUAAGUCGGAUGUGAAAUCCCAGGCUCAACCUGGGAACUGCAUCCGAUACUGGAUGGCUUGAAUUCGGGAGAGGGAUGCAGAAUUCCAGGUGUGAGCGGUGAAAUGCGUAGAUAUCUGGAGGAAUACCGGUGGCGAAGGCGGCAUCCUGGACCGACAUUGACGCUGAGGAGCGGAAAGCCAGGGGAGCAAACGGG